AUGAUGCUCAACCUUCCUCUUCAAUCUCCGACGAUUCUUCCGCCGAUCUACCUCUGUCGUUCAUUCUUCUACUUCAUCCAACCCAACCUUCGAGGCCGAUUCAAUGCUUGUGGUUCUGCCUCCGCCUUCUUCGUCAACAUCGUCCGCGUCAACUCAACUUCAGAUCUCAGCUCGCGACUUAACCUUUUAUCAUCUCCGCUCCAGUCGUGCUUCAGCGACUCCUCAUUGACGAACCUCUGA